UACGUAGGUGGCAAGCGUUGUCCGGAUUUAUUGGGUUUAAAGGGUGCGUAGGCGGUCUUAUAAGUCAGUGGUGAAAUACGGCAGCUCAACUGUCGAGGUGCCAUUGAUACUGUAGGACUUGAGUACAGACGAGGUAGGCGGAAUUGACGGUGUAGCGGUGAAAUGCUUAGAUAUCGUCAAGAACACCGAUAGCGAAGGCAGCUUACUGGGCUGUAACUGACGCUGAGGCACGAAAGUGUGGGGAUCAAACAGG
rnacentral:rRNA from 1 species